GACGAACGCUGGCGGCGUGCUUAACACAUGCAAGUCGAACGGAAAGGCCCUGCUUUUGUGGGGUGCUCGAGUGGCGAACGGGUGAGUAACACGUGAGUAAACUGCCCUUGAAUUUGGGAUAACUUCAGGAAACUGGGGCUAAUACCGGAUAGGAGCUCCUGCUGCGUGGUGGGGGUUGGAAAGUUUCGGCGGUUGGGGAUGGACUCGCGGCUUAUCAGCUUGUUGGUGGGGUAGUGGCUUACCAAGGCUUUGACGGGUAGCCGGCCUUAGAGGGUGACCGGCCACAUUGGGACUGAGAGACGGACCAGACUCGUACGGGAGGCAGCAGGGGGGAAUAUUGCACAAUGGGCGGAAGCGUGAGGCAGCAACGCCGCGUGCGGGAUGACGGCCUUCGGGUUGUAAACCGCUUUCGCCUUUGACGAAGCGGGAGUGACGGUAAUGGGUAAAGAAGCACCGGCUAACUACGUG
rnacentral:rRNA from 1 species